rnacentral:piRNA from 1 species
UCUUGAAGAAGCGGGAUAUGCAGAGA